rnacentral:rRNA from 1 species
AUUGAACGCUGGCGGCAGGCCUAACACAUGCAAGUCGAGCGAGCGGCGGACGGGGGAGUAUUGUAUGUGGAGCUGUCCGAGAGAGGGGGAUAACACUUGGAAACGGUAGCUAAUAUCGCACACUCUCGGAUGUACCCAUAUGGGAUUAGCUCGUGGGUGAGGUAAUGGCUCACCAAGGCGACGAUCCCUCGCUGGUCUGAGAGGAUGAUCAGCCACACUGGGACUGAGACACGGCCCAGACUCCUACGUGAGGCAGCAGUGGGGAAUAUUGCACAAUGGGCGCAAGCCUGAUGCAGCCAUGCCGCGUGUAUGAAGAAGGCCUUAGGGUUGUAAAGUACUUUCAGCGGGGAGGCGUUACCCGCAGAAGAAGCACCGGCUAACUCCGUGCCAGCAGCCGCGGUAAUUC